UGUAAAAAAACUAGUUAUAGGGAAAUAUGUGGAGAAAGUCCUAGCCCCCAACUCUUUACCGGCGACCAGCAAAUCCACGGCGAAUUUGAUUGGGUCUCAAACUCUUCAGCAAUAAUCAGCAGAUUCAGAUGUCACAAGAAAUUCAUUGAUUAAUUCAGAGUAGGAGCCGUGCCUUCUUUCCUCUGUUCAGGUAAGUCAGUUAAAUGCUUGUAACAAUUUGGUAGGUCUAGUCCCUAAUAUUUAUGAUAUUGGUUUAGUCUUUGCUGAUAUUAUACUUUUAGUUUAUUUAUGAUUUUGAAUAUGUGAACCGAACUUUAAGAAUAAUUUAUUUUUGGAGAUAUACUUUUGUUUUAUUCACCGCGGUACACGGUUUUCGUUAGUAUUAUGGCAAGGAGUUCAGGUAUUUUGACCCUAUAACCUAAUUUGUUUUGAAUUGUAUAAUCUUUUAAUUUAAUUGUACUGAUAAAUUGUGUGUUUCUAAUUUCAAUAGAAACUACAACCUACAGAAAGAAAAUACCAGCCCUGCGAUCCUGGAAAAAGGUUUAAUUAUCUAGUAUAACCAUAUGGAUAACAAAUACAUAGUUGAAUCAUGUGAAUAAGAAAGAAUACACCUUGAAGCAUCAUUGUCCUUAAUCAUAAAUAAUUGAUAUUUUGGCAAACUAUUUUUAUAGAGCAUUUGAGAGCCUAAAAAUAUUAUGAACAACAAAACAAAGAGGUUUCUUUCUAUGGGGAAUUAAAUUCAUGCCAUAUUUUGUGGAUCAAUAAUUUUGUUUUAUUUUUUAAGAUAAAAAUGUAUGAUCUCAAUUUAGGAUCGAAUAAAAGAGCUGCACAACCUUUAAUUUUUGUGUAUUAUUAAUCAGUGGGAGUUAGCGAGCAGGUAAUAAGAUUUGAAUUUGGUAAUUGUUGACUAAAUCAAAUUCUAAAUGACUCUUUUCUUAAUCCUAAGGAGCAUAUGAGUUGGUAAGGCGCUCUUCUGGCUUAAGUGAGGUCACGUGUGCGAACUAUACUCAUGUAUGCAGUCGUUUAAAUCUUGAGGUCAGAGUUUGCUUCCGCAAGGGACCUAUAAGGCUCGAGUGAGGAUCAGUCUGAAUCUGAAAGGUUUAAAGGUGUCGUGUCAUAGUUAAGACAUGUUUAAAAAACCUCACGGACCCUAUACUAAAAGCAAAUGACCCUUUUCUUCUUUAUUGGGUGGCAAUGAGGUAGCAAAUCACGCUCACAAAAUCCUCACAAUAUGUCUUUCACUAUUUUUAUCUUUAUUAUUGGUUUCAUUCUUUAAUUCUUAAGUUGAUAAUGCAUGUAAACUUGAAAAUGCUUUCAGAUUUGUAAGGUGUUUCUAGGCAGGGGCAUGUUUUUGGUUCAAACCGAAAUAACUUAUUUUUUAUUUUUUAAAAUUGAAUUGAACCAAUUUUAUAAGAAUUUUUAAACAUUUUAGAUAUUUUGGUUCGGUUUGUUCCAAAAGUAAAUUGAUUUUUUUGGUUCUACCUUUGUUUCUUUUGGACAACAUUACAAUUGUUGAGCAAAAUUCAUGUAAUUCUAGUGAUAAAUGGAGAUAUAUGAUGGGUAACAAAUGGAUUAAUUGUGGUUUUCAAAACUUUGGUUACUGUAUUAUGUACUGUUAUUUUAGUUUGUAUACAAAUAGAGAUCAUACUGCUUACUAUAUCAUGUACUGUUAUCAUAUUGCUUACUGCUAUCUUUUUGUGCAUUUUGUCUUGGAUCCUAUUCUUAUUAGUAGCUCAAGAACUGAAGCUUCAUUUGCUGCUGUAUAUGACUGUUUGGUUUUUAUAAAAAAAGUAAGUUUCUUGAAAAUUGAGACUGUAACUCAAAAUUCCAGUUUAGUUUGGUUGUUACAUACCCCUACUGUCAAUAUAUGAAGAAACCAACCAAUCCUAUUUAUAGGUUGUGUUGAUGAAUAUGGGUGUUGAUGCAUUGUGAAGGGUGGCAGAUACCAGUGACGUGUGCUGGUAAGAUUACCGUAAUGGAUUAUUUAAAGCAGAUAAAGACAGUUAAAAAAGAACAUGUUGAUGCUACUGUGGGCAGUCCUCUCGACAUUUUUGGAGAUUUCUUACCAUACAAACAUGUUGUGGCUUGGCAUGCCCAUUAAAAAGCCUUCUCUUAUUAAUCAAUUGUUUGUAAAAUGUAAUUCAUCUUUUAAUUGACUAGUGAUGUAGCAUAAAAGUUGCUAUGAUCUAAUCAAUCAAUAUUCAAUUAACUUAUAAAAUUUCAA